CCUUCACUUUAGCUUCACACUGCCCGUGGGUGAGUCGUCGCUGCCACUGCUUUUCAUCCGUGUGAAAAAUGCUAUUCACUAUUUCGCGUCGCGGUCGCUGAAUUCACCUCAAAGACAGCGGCAUGUUUCAGCGGAGUGGAACACGUGCAAAGACUUGAACAGGUUGUGUAAGCCAUGAUCUGAGGUGUUGAAGUCUACUUUUCUCUGUGGACAACACAGACUUGCCCUCCCACAAGCUGCACUCGCACACAUCUGUCAUGUCUCAGUCUGAAGUUGAACCCUGUUUAACUGUGUGGGACUGGUUAUGUGUUCUUCGCCUGGAGCAAUAUUCCGAGGCAUUUAGGAGUGCCGGGCUGGCAACGUUACGACAAUGUCGCAACCUCACACCUGAUCAAUUAGAGCGGAUGGGCAUCACCCUGCCGGGUCACCAGAGACGCAUCCUGGCUAGCCUGAACAAAACACAUAGUAACAGUGACACACAGACCGACACUCACCUUGUACAGCCUGAGAGAGAUCAGCGAUUGGAGGAAACGGGACAUGCCAAAGUGUUGCAGAGAGAUAGACCUGUGCUUAUCCCAGUGGAAGAAAAACCUGUCCUUAAGGAAAGGGAGAAAAGAGAUGGGGAGACAUUGCGACCUUUGCCCAGGGAAAGAGAGAAACCAGUGCCCAGGGAGAGACAAGUGCCCGGGAUGAAAGAGGACAGUGGAGAAGGAGGAGAGAAGAAGACAGUUCCUGGACAGAGACAAAUGGAAACUAGAGAAGGAAAAGAGGAAGAGAGGGAUGGAGAGAGGGAGAAGCCUGUGCCCAAAGAAAGGACUAGGUUUCGCUCUAGUGCUUCAGUGGACUGUGAGCCCAGCCCACUUGUCCUUACAACUUCUGACGCCCCUUUACCCCCUGUCCCUCCACGAAGCAUCCCCAACUGUCCUCCACAGCGCUUCACCUCUCCCCUCAGCCCCUCACCUUCUGCACAAACCCCUGCCUCCCCCAAACUGGACAGACAUGCGGAUAAAGCCCCACCUGUACAUAGCAGAUCCCAGUGUUCCACCUCGACCUCCACCAGCACCCCGACCCAUACCCCCACACAUGCACCUCUCCACCCUCCCAACCUCCUCUCUGCUCAAACUCGGCCUCAGGCAUUAGAUAUUCAGCCACCUGUCCAUCAUUUGGGUAGUGAUGGAGGAGGAAUAACUGCAUCCGUCUCCCCCACUGCUUCCCACAACAAUGACAUAAAUGCUCCACCUCUCCCACCAAAAGCAGGGGCGGUACCUAAAGGCCCUCCACCAAUCCCACACCGCUCCUCUCCUACCAAGACGGUUACUGAUGAGAUGCUUAAAGACCAAACUCCACAGGUCCCUCCUCGCAUCCGGACACCCCAAACUCUAGAAGACGCUCGUCAGUCAAAUCAACUGGACACUCAGCCUGCCCUGCCUGCUAGGAGAGUAUCUCAACCUCCCAGUGUGUCCAGGUUGGAUUCACUCGAUGAUUGUUCUGAUGACUACGAGGAACCAGAAUUGUGUUAUCCCGGUACUCAUCGAAUAAACGUACCAGACAGGGAUAUGUCCCUGCAAGUACCUGUCCAGGCAAAAGGACAGUACAGUUCUUUGUACAGUGAUGAUGAGCUGUUGGAUGAUGAUGAUGCCAGUCCAUGGGUGGACGAGGGCAUGGGCAUUCUGCAAGAAAGUUUCUACCUGCCAAAGAGUGGCAGACUGACAUCAACCACUAAAGACGACAGCUCUCAGCUUGCUGCUGUCAUUAAGAUGGGCUGGCUGGAUAAGAAUCCACCUCAGGGGGCCCUUUAUUAUCAGCGACGUUGGGUGAAGCUGGAUGUUGACUAUCUGAGAUACUUUGACAAUGACAAGGAGGUGUAUUCUAAGGGGAUCAUCUCUACUGCCUUCGUCACUAAUGUGACCAGUGUGGGAGAGCUGAAGUUUGAGGUCGUCACAAACAACCGAACAUUUAUCUUCAGGGCGGAAAGUGAAGUCGAUAGAAAAAACUGGGUGACUGUACUGCAGGACUGCACCAGGGGGUGCCAUCUGCGCAGCACCACAAACCCUGGCUCAACGUUGUCCCGGGACUUUCAGGGAUAUCUGGAGCUCAGAGGGUUACGCUCCAAACUUUAUACCGUUGUAGCCUCAGAUAAAGUGUUCCUUUACAAAAACAUUGAGGACUAUCGUUUAGGAGUGGGUAUCACAUCUAUUGAGAUGAAUGUAGGAAAUGUUAAAGACACAGAUCGUCGUGGCUUUGAUCUCACUACGCCUUACCGGAUAUUCAGCUUCAUCGCAGAAUCAGAGCAGCUACGAGAGCAGUGGGUGGACGCCAUGCGGGAUGCGAUAGAUGAGGCACUGUCGAAUAGCGAGGUCGCACAGCAGAUCUGGGCGGAGCCCAGUAACAGUCUUUGUGCCGACUGUGAGGCUCCCCAGCCGGAAUGGGCUGCCAUCAACUUGUGCGUGGUGGUCUGCAAGCGAUGCGCAGGCGAGCACAGAGGACUGGGACCUAGCAUCUCCAAGGUUCGUAGUCUGAAGAUGGACAGGAAAGUCUGGACAGAGGAGCUGAUACAGGUGUUUCUGUUGCUGGGCAACAAACGGGUAAACAGCUUUUGGGCAGCUAACGUACCGCCAAGUGAAGCUUUGACACCCUUGAGCUGCAGUGAAGAGAGGCGGCGAUUCAUCACCAACAAAUACCGCCAGGGCAAAUACAGAAAGUACCACCCUCUGUACGGAAACCAGAGAGAGCUCAACCAUGCUCUUUGUAUAAAUGUGCAGUGCAGCGAUGUGCUGGAAACGUUAAGCCUAGUUUUCUGCGGUGCAAAUGUGAAUUGUUCAACUGGUAUGGCAAGUUGGCCCACUGCUCUCUCCCUGGCCAACGCACACUCGCAACUCUUACAGGCUGAGUUAAUAAGUCACAAUCUCAACACAGAGCUCCCGCGGUCAGAAGUGAUUGAAAGCAUGGAGCCGCGCCAUUACUCAGCACCACCUUGUGUGUCUCACAAUGGCUUCCUGUUCAAGACUGCAUCCAUGGCUCGGGCUAUUACAGAGCGCAAGGCCAAAGAGGAGUUCAGUCGUCGUUGGUGCACUGUGAACGAUGGCACCUUCAGCUACUAUGAGAGCGACAAAAACUCAAACCCUAACGGUGCUUUGAAGGCUUCAGAGAUCGUCUGCUUGGCUGUUGACGCGCCUGAGAGACACGGGUAUGAGCACACCUUUGAACUUUACUCAGAGUCAGAGCGUCUCUAUCUGUUUGGCACUGAUGACCCAGACAGCCACAAGGAAUGGGUCAAGUCUAUUGCCAAGAGCUUUAUCCCGGCCAGUGCAGAGCCGCUACUGCAGUUGGCUUUUGAGCGGAUUGGGCGGCUGAAAUGUAAAGACGGCUUGAACCUACAAACAUCCAAGGUUGGCUGGUUUGCUCUGGUGGGCUCCACACUUCACGCUCACCUGGAGGACAGCCAGGAAGAGGAGAUCCACCUCCGCAAACUGAAUGAACUCUCGAUUCAACAAGACAACGAGGUGCUGGUUCUGGUGGAGAGAGGCAGAACUCUGUACAUAGAGGGAGAGAGGAAGUUGGAUUUUUCCGGCUGGUGUGGCGCCAUCCAGGCGGCAGCGGGGAGUGGAGGAGACACACUGAGCCAGCAGCAGCUGACAGAGACAGACAUACCCGUCAUAGUACAUAGCUGCAUCGGCUACAUCACGCAGUGCGGGUUAGCCUCUGAGGGGAUAUAUCGUAAGAGCGGUGUGAACUCCCGCGUGAAAGCGCUGUGUGAUAGAUUCCGUCAGGAUGCUCGCAGUCUCCAUCUGAGAGAAGGAGAGCACCAGGUGGACGACGUCACCACCAUGCUCAAACGCUUCUUCAGGGAGUUGGAUGAAGGACUGUUCACAUCAGAGGAUGCCAGCUCCUGGCUCAGUGCUGCUGCUAUUCAGGAUAUAAGCAAGAAAAUCUCCCAGUUCCAGCUGCUGUUGAACAGACUGCCUUGUGUCAACAAGGCUACACUACAAGCCCUUAUCAACCACCUCUAUUGCGUGCAGCGUUUUUCUGAGCUGAACCAGAUGAACCUCCAUAACCUGGCUAUAGUAUUCGGUCCCACACUGUUCCAGAGCGAUGGGAAGGACGUAAAUGCUAGCCGCGCAAUAGAGGACCUCAUACAGCACUACACGUUCAUCUUUGAGGUGGAUGAACAGCAGCUACAGAAGCAGCUGAAAGAGAUCACUGUUAUCAUCAAAGUGCGAGAGAAACUCAAUACAAAGUUUCCCAGUACUGAACCUGGAGGGCACUUCAUCUGUACAGUGUACCUGGAGGAAAAGAAGGACACAGCAGAGCAACAUGUCAAGAUCCCUGGUUCUAUGACGGCAGCAGAGCUGACCUGUGAGAUCCUGGACCGGCGUAACAUCCAGGUUAAAGGCAAAGAGUACUGGAACUGCUGGGAGGUCAGCGACAAGGAGGAAAUGGAACGUCCACUGCACUAUCAGGAGCGAGUCUUACCCAUCCUGCACUCCAUUGGCACCGACUCCCAUCUGCUCAUCAAGAAACACCUCGCUAUGGAGGCGAUGAUGGUCUACCUGGCCAGUAAAGUGGAUGCAUCCAAACACGGGAUGAUGAAAUUCGGAGAAGAGCGAAGCAUCUUGGGAUUGGGACGCUCCUCUGGAAUUUUCCACGACCGAUAUUUCAUCCUCAAUUCCGACUCUCUCAGAAUGUACAAGGAAGUCAGAAGUAACUGUCCAGAACGUGAUUGGCCAGUGAAAAACCUAAAGGUCUACAUGGGUAUUAAAAAGAAAGUCCGUCCUCCUACAUGUUGGGGACUGACAGUCGUGUAUGAGAGUAAGAAACAAGAGAAGCAAAAGAGACAGCAGUGGUAUCUCUGCUGUGACUCCCAGUCAGAAAUGAGGGAGUGGUAUGCCACUUUUCUAAGUAUCCAGUACGAUGGCAAUGUGUGGCCUCAGGACGGAGUCCAGCAGACACGAGUGAGCCGCGUGUUGCCGGAUACGCGCCACGGUAAAGUGUCACUGAUACCGCUGCGUGGCAGUGAGAAUGAGAUGCGGAACAGCGUGGCAGCUUUCAGCCAAGACCCGCUUGCUGUGGAGGCGAGGUGUGUGGGGGUGUGUGAGGACGGUUGACUGCUCCUGUUUAUGACUCUCGAGCUUUUUAGAGAUGUUCGAUAAUGGUCGAUGCAAGAAAGGGCGGACAAGUCUCAGAUGACCUCUGAACAAUCCAGUGACAUCAUCAUUCUGCAAUUGUAAUGACCAGAAUGAUGGACACCUGUACUGUAUGUGGAUUAUGGCCUUAGACUGCCAUCUGCACCUUUUAAAAAAAAAAAUACGAACUGGACUAAAACGUUAACGGACAAACAGGAUCACAUGUAAAAUAUAUCCUCCACUGGCCGCCCUGCACAACAUCAUUCUCCUUGACUUGAUGUGCAGUGGAAGCCGCUGGGAGCUGCAUUAGGACAUCAAAGAGUGACAGUUUGAAGGACUAGGAUGGAUGUGCGGCAAGUCUUGACCCAAUGCUCAGCUGUUUCUGUUGGUCAUUGGCACGUGACUCCAACACUGCAUUGCAUUAUGGGACGGAAGCAUGAAAGACAUGCUGAGAGAAACCUUAAUUUCUUUAAUGUAUUUCAGAAAAGACUUAGUCGAGUUCUUCUCGGCACUAGCGUCGAAUUCUUUGCUCUUCUUUUUUUUUAUAGAAGAAUAAAGUGUAUUGACUUGCUUUAGUAGCUAAAUCAGAUUAAUAAUUGUUUCAUGUUUUUUGCUUUUUUUCUGUACUAUUGCUCAAAGAAUUGUCACCUGCAGUUCAAGAUUGAAUAAUUGCUUUUGUGAGCAAGGCUGAUGUCACAGAAGGCGAUGGAGAGGUGAAGCUGACGGAUCUGUGCCACUCUUCUUUGCCUGUACUGUGCAAAACCUUUGGUCAGGGUUGCAUACUUGUGCUCGUGUCCAUUUGUCUGCAUAUGUGCACCAGUGUGCAUACAGUAUAUGUGAAUAUGUCUAAGUGUGCAUAUAUAUAUAUAUAUAUAUAUAUACACACACACACACACACACACACACACACAUACAUGUAUGUAUAUACAUACAUGCAUACAUACAUACAUACAUACGUACACACACACACACACACACACACACACACACGGGCAGCCUUGUCAUUAACCAGCAGUAUUUAUGAAGUUUUAGAUUAUGGAUUAGUCCCGAUGAAAUAAACGUGUCUUGUAUGUUUCUUGUGCACACUCUUUUGUGACUGUGUGUUAUUAUUAUAGUGUAUUCAUCACAACAGGGUGCAAAAGUUCAAGUGAAAGACCUGGAAGCACAAGAAACCAAUUAAAGUGUGUUAUAAUCAUCAUUUUGUCAAAAGGAGAGCCAAUAAACAAUCUGUAUUAACUGUUAAGCUGUUGCCUUACCAGCUGAGCUUGACCCGCCCAUCUUCACCACCUCGUAGAGUUGCGUCUGUGCCACCUGUCGGUUUUUCAUGCAGGAGCGAUUUCUUAUUUAUUUGGACAGCAGAGGAUGCUGUGUGCUGUAGAGAAAUCAUGCCUAAUAGACAAAUGUUCAUUUUAACACUGUUUUAAGGUGUGAAUAUUAAGUACAAAUAUGAAUCCCCAAAUAAUUGUGUUUAUUAGUCUUCAGACCUUUAUAAAUCUAUAAGCUCUGCCAAGUUACACGUUCAGUUAAAACGAUCAAUUUUACGUCCCACCACAAACUGGAUUGACUUUUGAGACCACAGAUUAAUUUGGUUUCACUAAGUGCUUCAUUCUGGAGAUGAUGUGUGAUAUUAAGCUCACAACAAUCAGAGCGUUAACUAAACGUAUCAAGCUCUCAUCACAGUACAAUCUUACUCGUUUCACAGUCAUUUGUGAAGCUUCUGGCAGACAGACACUUAGACAAGUCUGCCCUUUUUACAGUCAGUUGUCAAAGGCAGAUUUCCAAUUGUGUAAUUUUCUUUCCCUUUUUUAAUACAGGUUCAGAUGUUUUUUCACCUAAUACUCACAAAGGAUUUGAAUUUAUGUGACUUCUAAAAUAAACUUGUCUGUAGCCAUGUUG